AAGCAGAAGUAAGUAUUAUUGCAAAUAGAUAUUUCCAUACAUUCGCUAGUGGAUUGAUAUUUAGUAUUUAGUAUUAUGUAUAUAUGUAAUAUUUCUAUCAUGUUCAUGUAGUUUCAAUGGACACCAUACGAGGAUCCGGCAGUCCGGGCAGUAAUCCCGGAAGAGUUUUUACAAAAUCCGAACGCUUGGCACGUGAAAGUGGUGUUGAUCAACUA
rnacentral:lncRNA from 1 species